rnacentral:tRNA from 1 species
AGGGUUGUAGUUCAAUGGUAGAACGCCGCACUGUUAAUGCGGAUGUUCCAGGUUCGAGUCCUGGCUUCCCUGCCA